AGUAGGGGUGGACAAAAAAAUAAGAUCUCGAUAUUCUUGGCAAUUUUGACAAUAACGAUAAUUAGACAAUAUCCUUUAAAAAUGCGUUUUUAAAAGUUUGAUCACAUAAUCACUGAUGAUAAUAAUGUGCACAAUGUUGUAU